UUGACCUCGAAUCAGGUAGGAAUACCCGCUGAACUUAAGCAUAUCAAUAAGCGGAGGAAAAGAAACCAACAGGGAUUGCCCCAGUAACGGCGAGUGAAGCGGCAACAGCUCAAAUUUGAAAUCUGGCUCUCGGGCCCGAGUUGUAAUUUGUAGAGGAUGCUUUUGGUGAGGUGCCUUCCGAGUUCCCUGGAACGGGACGCCAUAGAGGGUGAGAGCCCCGUCUGGUUGGACACCGAUCCUCUGUAAAGCUCCUUCGACGAGUCGAGUAGUUUGGGAAUGCUGCUCUAAAUGGGAGGUAUAUGUCUUCUAAAGCUAAAUACCGGCCAGAGACCGAUAGCGCACAAGUAGAGUGAUCGAAAGAUGAAAAGAACUUUGAAAAGAGAGUUAAACAGUACGUGAAAUUGUUGAAAGGGAAGCGCUUGUGACCAGACUUGGGCUUGGUUGAUCAUCCGGGGUUCUCCCCGGUGCACUCUUCCGGCUCAGGCCAGCAUCAGUUCGCCCUGGGGGAUAAAGGCUUCGGGAAUGUGGCUCUCUCCGGGGAGUGUUAUAGCCCGCUGCGUAAUACCCUGUGGCGGACUGAGGUUCGCGC
rnacentral:rRNA from 5 species